AUGUUUCUCUGCCGCAAAAUGUGCAGCUUCUAGCAAUAGCGCUGAAUCCAAACUCAUUAUUGAAAGAUAUCUGGUUAUAUAUAACUUUUACUGGUGGAACAUUUAUCAGCCAAUUGCUUGUGUGGAUACUAAUUUACGAAGUAGCCAAGACCAUGAAACUGUUUAAAGUGCUUAAAAAAGAUCUCGACGAGAACCACAACAACAGACAAACUAUGAAUUCGAUGUCCUAUAGGUUAUUUAUCUAGUUGUCUAUUAGUACCAUAGAUAAGUAUAGAAACAGAACAAUUACUUUACAUAUGUUGUAUAAGGCUCACGAAUAUUUCACUCAAUUAAAUGACCAUUGACUUUUCCUGUCAUCUCUUCCUUGUUAGACUCUAACCGGACGUGUCCUUUUACCUGUCCGGAAGAAACAAGCUUUGCAGCAACUAAGCUUCCGCAUCGGUUAGGCGAAAGGCGUACCAGUUGAGCUCCUGGAACGAUAAUAUUGACGAUCGAGCAAGCUACCUUGAUCAGCCGGCUGCGCGUAUACAUGCAUUAUGUUCUAUUAAGGUUAGAUUAACGGUUCUGUUGCAAUUCAUGUGCAUUUAGUCCAAGUAUUGGUUGCUGGAAAUUAAAAGCCAGUUAGCAAGUGUUGAGCCUGAUGUUAUCGCUUGUUCGCUCGAUCAUGGGAUGCUUUAGCUAUGUUAUAGCUAGACUUGCUAAGUGAAUGUCGUGAACAUUAUAGCUGGACCAGUUAUUAACGUUAGGUACUUAGCUAAGUUAACUAGAUACAUUUGUUUUUUGGAGUGUUCGCUGCAGGCCCUUUGAAAUGGCUUAGUUUGCAACGUUAUGCCAUGAUAUGCCAGUCAUAAGCCUGUGGUAAAUACGUUAGGAGCUUUAGAUACUAUAUGUGAGUCUCGGAGGCUGGAAUAUAUUAAUUUGUUGCUCGUUUUUAUAAAGUUUAUAACGAUUGGGUCACAGUGGCGAUAUUUGACAGCACGGAAUAUUACAAUAAGAGGGGGGCUUGUGUCAAUCAGCUGAUACCGUACGCUGCGCUGUUGCCCAUCUGCCCCCAUGGCACACAACAGAAGAGAUGCCCCCGAGCUGCCUGACUUUUCUCUUCUCAAGAGACUGGCAAAGGACCAGCUUAUCUAUCUCCUGGAACAGCUGCCUGGGAGGAAGGAUCUGUUUAUUGAAGCAGAUUUAAUGAGUCCCCUGGAUCGCAUUGCUAAUGUCACAACUCUCAAGCAACACGAAGUGGACAAACUGUAUAAAGUGGAAAACAAACCAAUUGUCAGCACUUGUGAUCAACUGUGCUUUCUGAUUCGACCCCGAAUACAAACUGUGAAGUGGGUCGCUGAUAUUGUCAAUGCAGACAAGGCAGCUGGAAAAUUCAGGAGAUACAAGAUCAUAUUUAGUCCCCAGAAGUUCUUUGCAUGUGAGACGAUACUGGAGGAGCAGGGUGUCUAUGGUGAUGUGAGCACUGACGAAUGGGCUUUCUACCUUCUGCCUCUGGAUGAUGACAUCAUUAGCCUUGAGCUUCCUGAAUUCUUCAGAGAUACUUUUCUGGAGGGUGACCAACGCUGGGUGACUACAGCAGGCAGUGCACUUCACCUCCUGCAUUCUCUCUAUGGUCCUUUCUCAAAGGUUUAUGGGAUUGGCCGCUCUGCUAAGAUGACACAUGGACUGCUGAAGGAGCUAGUGGAGGAGGGUGAACAGAGAGCUCAAAAACCUGACAUUGGGACCGUCUUUCUCAUUGAUCGAGAUGUUGAUUUUGUCACUCCAGUCUGCUCUCAAGUUGUUUAUGAAGGCCUGGUGGAUGAUAUUUUCAGGAUUAAAUGUGGAAGUGUGGAGUUUGGUCCUGAUGUCACGUCCUCUGACAAGAGUAUGAAGGUGAUGCUGAACUCUCAAGAUAAGGUUUUCAAUGAGAUCAGGAAUGAGCAUUUCUCCAAUGUCUUUAGCUUCUUAAGUCAGAAGGCCAGGAACCUGCAGACUGCAUAUGAUAAGCGGAAAGGGAUGGACAUCAAGCAGAUGAAAACCUUUGUCUCGGAAGAGCUGAAAGGGUUAAAACAAGAGCACCGCCUGCUCAGUAUGCAUAUUGGUGCAAGUGAGUCAAUGAUGAAGAAGAAAACAAAACAAGACUUUCAGGAGCUUUUAAAGACAGAACACUCUUUGCUGGAGGGUUUUGAAAUUCGAGAGUGCAUUGCCUACAUAGAGGAGCACAUAAACAGACAGGUCUCCAUGAUUGAUAGUCUUCGACUUCUCUGCUUGUUGUCUCUCACAGAAAAUGGACUUCUUCCAAAAGAUUAUCGGUCACUAAAAGCACAGUACCUUCAGAGUUAUGGUAUUGAGCAUCUACUGACAUUUGCCAACCUGCGACAGCUGGGACUGCUAGUGGAGCAGCAGCCCGGGGAGACACUCACUGUCAUGGAAAGCAAAGUGGGCAAACUGGUCAAUGACAAGACUGCAGGAAAGCUGACUGAUGCUUUUUCAUCUCUGGCAAAGAAAAGCAAUUUCCGCGCACUGAGCAAGAGGCUUGCUCUCGUCCCAAAGUCUGGGGAGGAGUAUGACCUCCGUAUCCCGCGAGACAUGGCCUACAUCUUCAGUGGAGCUUAUAUCCCCCUCAGCUGCAGACUGAUAGAACAGGUCUUAGAGCGGGAUGGCUGGACAGGGUUGGAGGAAGUUACACGCAUGCUCAAUGGGCAUGAGUUUGCAGUGACAGGUGGGGGCGCUAAAGCACCUGGGUGGGCAACAGUGGAAGUGAGAGCAGGCUGAAGACUGAAGCCCAACGCAUUAUCCUUGUGAUGUUCCUUGGAGGCUGCAGCUAUUCUGAAAUCUCAGCACUACGUUUUCUUGGCAAAGAAAGGGGCUGUAAAUUCAUUGUGGUAACAACCGCCAUUUUAAACAGUGCCAGAAUGCUGGAGGCUAUGUUGGACAGCCAAGUGUGAAACCUGUGUUCCUGAAAGGCCAGGUGCAAGACUGUCUUCCAUCACCAAGCUGAAGAACCACACAAAUCAAGACAUGGGAAAAGUCUGAUUGUCCAAUGGAAGAGUAUAUUGAGAUGAAAUUCUGUGGUUUAGUAGACAUGAACUCUGAUAUAUUAGCCCCAGAAAUGUAUAUGCUUUCAAUAAAAUUUCUUUUGGAGCA